rnacentral:rRNA from 1 species
CGGCAACGAGCGCAACCCACACUCUUAGUUAGCCAGCAUUCAGUUGGGCACUCUAAGAGAACUGCCGAUGAUAAGUCGGAGGAAGGUGUUGGAUGACGUCAAGUCCUCAUGGCCCUUACGGGUUGGGCUACACACGUGCUACAAUGGUGGUGACAAUGGGUUAAUCCCUAAAAGCCAUCUCAGUUCGGAUUGGGGUCUGCAACUCGACCCCAUGAAGUCGGAAUCGCUAGUAAUCGCGUAACAGCAUGACGCGGUGAAUACGUUCCCGGGCCUUGUACACACCGCCCGUCACACCAUGGAAGUUGGGUCUACCCGAAGGUGGUGCGCCAACCUGCAAAGGAGGCAGCCAACCACGGUAGGCUCAGCGACUGGGGUGAAGUCGUAACAAGGUAACCGU